rnacentral:lncRNA from 1 species
CGGCUUCUCUGAAGCCUUUGCAGAACCCAGUGGCAGAGCUGGCUGUAGUUUACCUUCCCAGCCUACCCUGGAAGAGAGGAACUCACCUGCACAGAGACACUGUCUGUCUCCUUCCCAACUAAAGAGCAUGUGAUUUCAGACCCGGAAGGCCAGCUCUGGGGUGCUCCCUAAAGGCCCAUUCUCUUUUCUCACUGGCAGACACCAGGUUCUGACUCAACCUUGGCUCCUGAGCAAUGUGUAGUACCUUCUGUCCCCCCGGAGGUCCUCUUAACAAGCCCCAAACCAGGCCAUUUGCAGUGAUUCCCUCCCUGGGUCCUUGACGACGGAGCCUUGUCCACCCCGCUCUACUCGAGAGAAGAUUCAUGAGGCAGGAUUUCAGAGGAACACUGUAGUGGCUAUUCCCGGUUGUCAACUUGACUAUAUUUGGAAUGAACUACAAUCCAGAAUUGGAAGGCUC